UCCCCGAUAGCUCAGUCGGUAGAGCGGGUGACUGUUAAUCACUAGGUCGUAGGUUCAAGUCCUACUCGGGGAG
rnacentral:tRNA from 1 species